CUUGCUUUCUUUGCUGGCGACCGGCGCACGGGUGAGUAACACGUACCCAACCUGCCCUUUACUCGGGGAUAGCCUUUCGAAAGAAAGAUUAAUACCCGAUAGCAUAAUGAUUCCGCAUGGUUUCAUUAUUAAAGGAUUCCGGUAAAGGAUGGGGAUGCGUUCCAUUAGGUUGUUGGUGGGGUAACGGCCCACCAAGCCUUCGAUGGAUAGGGGUUCUGAGAGGAAGGUCCCCCACAUUGGAACUGAGACACGGUCCAA
rnacentral:rRNA from 1 species